ACGGAAGGCAGCAGUGGGGAGUAUUGGGCAAUGGGCGAAAGCCUGACCCAGCAACGCCGCGUGAAGGAAGAAGGUCUUCGGAUUGUAAACUUCUUUUAUGAGGGACGAAGGACGUGACGGUACCUCAUGAAUAAGCCACGGCUAACUACGUGCCAGCAGCCGCGGCAAUACGUAGGCGGCGAGCGUUAUCCGGAUUUACUGGGUGUAAAGGGCGCGUAGGCGGGGAUGCAAGUCAGAUGUGAAAUCUAUGGGCUUAACUCAUAAACUGCAGUUGAAACUGUAUCUCUUGAGUGCUGGAGAGGUAGAUGGAAUUCCUUGUGUAGCGGUGAAAUGCGUAGAUAUAAGGAAGAACACCAGUGGCGAAGGCGAUCUACUGGACAGUAACUGACGCUGAGGCGCGAAAGCGUGGGGAGCAAACAGGAUUAGAUACCCUGGUA
rnacentral:rRNA from 1 species